rnacentral:misc_RNA from 1 species
AAACAGCUCACAUCCACUUGCACACAAGCUGGCUGGCAGGACGCCAUGUGCGACACACAGGCGAGUGUGGACAGCGGCGGUGGCAGCAGCAGCAGCAUCCCUGACCGACUCUUUCACAUCUUCAUCGCCACUCUGUCCCCCGACAAGGCCACGCGGCAAUCCGCCGAGGACGCGCUUGCUCAGUUGGCCGAUAAGGACCCACAUUUCGUUCUUCAUCUCUUGGAGCUCGCUUGCCAUUCACCCACAGUGUGCGCGCAUACGUUUGGAAGAGGGCUGCCGGCGACGGCGAGCGCGCUUCUGGCGAGCGCCAUUCGGUUUCGCAAUGAAAUUGGCCGCAGCGACUGGAAUCGAAACCCGCGCUGCUCUGAUGAGGUGAGACAGCGUGUGCGCGACCACGUUGUGUCGCUGCAGUGCCAGCCCCACGUGUCGGAGGCGGUGCGGCGGCAGCUACUGACGGCGACGAUUGAGGUGGUGAAUGCCGACUACCCCGAGCGGUGGCCCGAUCUGCUGCCGCAGCUGACGGGGCUCGUGAGUCAGAGCAUGACGGCGCUGCGUGGGCUCUUCGACUGCAACGCGAGCAGCUGCCAGGAAAUCGACGGAGACGUCAUCCACAUGAUGCUGCUGCAGCUGAAGGGCUCCCUGGGCGUACUGCGGGGGUGCUGUAAGAUCUACGUGGACCCGUUGAAGGUGGACGCCGACGAGGUGGACGUCUUCGCUGGCCACCUUUCUCCGUUGCUCCUGUCCCUGAUGGAGCUGUUGUCGGGGCGGUGGCAGCACGAGCUGACGGCGCUGGCGGGCCACGGUGCCGCGACCGCGACCUCUGGUCCUUCCUUGGCUGCGCUGUUUUGCUUCUCGGCGGAACUGGAGGAGCUGGCGCACUGCAUGCGACUUUCCCUAAAGUGCAUCUUUUCUCUCUUUGAAAGCCGCUGGCCCGCAUGCUUGUGCGAGGUGUCGGCCCUCGACUACCUCUACGCCUCCUGCGUGGUGACGCCGAUUCAAGUCUUUCAGCAGGCCGCUUUGCCGCUCUGCCGAGCAAGGCUGGCGCACGCGCUGCACCACCCGGCCGAAACAGGCAUGACGGUCACGCAGCUUCGCGGUGAUCACUUCUCCAACUUCCAGCAGUCCGCCAUGUUUACACUACUCAAGUGGGUCAUGAACAUCGCCCACAAGCUCACUCAGGAGUUUGCGUCGCCGAAGAGCUGCGAGCGACGCUGCCGCACCGUGGCGAAGCACUUCACCGCACAGUACCUGCAGCCCACCGUCGAGGCCGCCCUGGCGCUUGUGCGGUGGCACGCCGGCCCACCGCUCGCCCUAACCUCGAAAGCGUACAUCCUCGCACUCGAGGUGCUGACGCUCGCAGUCCAGCACAAGGCUGUGUACGCGAGCGUACUGCACCCCAGUGCCGAGGAGCUCAUGACGGUGCUUCUCUUCCCACGCCUCGCCUUCACGGACGAGGACGAGGAGCUGUGGUCCGACAACCCGGAGGAGUACGUGCGCAAGCAAGCGAACCCCGCCGGCGACAUCUACAGCGCCAAGGUAGUGUCGACGAACCUCCUCAUGUCCCUUGCCGCCGGUACGAAGAAGUUCCACGACAAGAGCCUCUUCCUCUCUCUCAUGAACUUCUUGCUGAACCAGCUUCAGGCCUACGUCGGUGCGGCUGCGCAGGCGACGAGCGAUGACGCUCACCUCAGCACCCCCGCCAUGGAGGCGGCGCGCCGCGUCGAUGCCUCACUCUACUGCUUUUACCACUUCAAGAAGAUCCUGCUAGCGAUGCGCUUUGGUGACGACAAGCUCGAGUACGUCCUGUCGACCUUCACGGUGCCAGUGACGCAGUACUCGCUGGGAUUCCUGCGCGCACGCGCGGUGCUGGUUCUCAGCACGUUUGCACCGUCGCUCGAGUGGAGCAGUCCGCUGGCGUACCAGCAGGCCCUUCAGCCAGUGCUGUGUCUGCUUAACGACAGCGAGGCGCCAGUGCGUGUGCAGGCCUGCGUGUGCUUUUCGCGCCUCGUCUGUCAUCCCUUCGCGCGCGACGUCAUCAACCCCUGCAUUGCCGAGCUCAUCCAGCACUACUUCAACGUGAUGCGGAUGAUAGACAACGAGGCGGUGGUGCGCACGCUCCGCAAGACCAUCUCGUUCUACAAGAACACGCUGUCGCAAUGGGCACUGGAGCUGACGGAGAUGCUGGUGAGCCACUUUGCCGUCGUGCUGGAGCGUGUAACGGCCAAGUACAACGCGCUGGAGUCGAUGACGUCGUCAACGGCGCAGACGACGGGUGGAGGUGACAAAGCCGAGCUGUUCCUCGACAAUGACGGCUUUGCCGAUGUGCUGAUGACUGCCGACGAACUGCUGGAGACUCUCACCACGCUUGUUAAGGCGCUUCCGGAGAGCACGGCUACUGUGGCCGCACGCCACGCUGCCGCUGACUUAUUGGCAAAGGCCUCUGGCGCAUCGUCCUCCUCGCCGUCUGCGGCGGCCCCGUGCCCGUCAACGGAGGCGCUCCAGCAGGACAUCUUCGUGCAAAUCCAGCUGCGCGUAGCCCCGAUGUUAUUUGUGAUCCUCGGCCACCAAGGCGGCAGCUCCUACGGUUUCAUGGAUCCUGCCCUGUCCCUCCUCACCACCCUCAUCGCGCGCAGUCCAGCCAUCGCGCCGCCCAUGUGGAAGGUCCUGUGGUGCCUCUAUCAGCUGAUCAUCCGAGGCGGCGCUGUCGACUAUAUCCAGCAGCUACUUCCCCCGAUCGACAACUUCGUCUCUGUCGAGCCGGCCUCCUUUCUGUACGGCACACUGGCGGAGCUGACGCGCGAGCCGCUGCCGGCAGCCGUGCCAGCGGAGGAGGCGGCCCAAACGCCGGCGCAGCUGGUCUUAGCCAUGUGCGAGGCGGUGCUGGCGAGCACGUCGCUGCGGGAGCGCGAAGUGGCCGCAGUGCCGAAAGUGUUGGACGUGAUUGUGCAGUGCAGCUGGGCAGCCUCGGCGGCGGCGGCAUCGACCUUCGCAUUUGCGGAGGCGGCACAUGCCUUGGUGCAGUACGUGACGCAGCUGUCCUUGAAGAUCGCCGGCACACGGCCACAGCAGAGCGCGACGUUUCGCGUGUUGCUCGCCAACAACAUCUUCUCCUGCCUUAUCGCUGAUGCGCCUGCUGCCGUGGCGGUGCUGCAUGGGCUGCAGGUGACACGCCCGUUUCUGGAGCAGUACGUGUCGUUGCUGGCGCGGAGCGUGUCGAUUGAGGGUAGCGAGGAGGCGAUGCUGGGCCUCAUGCGGGGCUAUGACCGCAGUCUCUUCGUGUACGCCAUGGUUUCGUGUCUGCGUGCGCUUGCGGCAAACACGAUUGACGCCGGCGCGGCAGAGCUGCGGUCUGGCCUGGAGGGUGCCGUGCAGUGCGGUGUGCUGCAGCAGCUGGCUGAGAUGGAGACGACCAACGGCACGGCGGAGCUGCGCGUUCAUCAGCGACGCAUUGCAAUGCUGUCGGGGAAGCCGGUGCCGACAGCACAUGCCAGCGAAGGCGCCUCCGCGGAGGAGGCGGAAGACGACGAGGAGGAGUGGGACAGCGAGGCCAGCAGCGAAGAGGACGACGACGGCGAAUGGCUGCAGGAUGACGACGACGGCGGCGAGUGGGGUGAGGUCGAUGCCGACAGCGACAGCGCGGAAGGCUUUCUGGGUGGCGAGGGCGCCGGCCACGGACCGAGUCGAGACAGCCGCUUUCAGGGUAUGCUGCGCCAGGCUCAGGCGCUUCGUGAGACACCGCAGCAGAGUCACCGUAAAGAGGCCGUCGACGACGCCGACGACGCCGACCUGGAUGACUUUGAGGAGAACCUGCUCGACGACGAGGACUUCUCGAGCCCAGUGGACGGCAUCAAUGCAUGGGCAGCCCUGGUCUCGGAGGUGGAGCGGACCGACGUGGCGGCGGGUGGCAGUGCCUCUGUGGUGGCGCUGCUGCGCAGCGCCGCUGGCCAGGCGCAGGCCAGCGCUAUUGUCCGCGCACGUGACCUCACGUGUGAGCUACAGGUGGCCCGGCAAACCCAUCGCGCACUCCUCGAUCAAGUGAGGCACUGAAGAACACGGGAGGUGCCUCUGAGGAGAACACCGCUAUGACGUCUCUCUGCGCAUGUGCGCGCGUCCCUGCACUUGUCUCCCCAGCGCCUCCUACGCCGGCCGCAGCGAAAUGUGAGCACACCCGCUACCGCACUCACGAGGAUUGUAACGACGACGUGGCGGUGGUGGUGGUGGCGGGUGGCGGGCACGAGGAGAGAGGAGCUGGCGGUUGCUGUGGUAGCUGGCAACGCAGAGAGACAGAGCGAGUACGAGAGAUGGGGAGGGGAUGAUGAUGAGGGUCUUGCCAGCGAGACGAUCCUGUGCUGGCACACACACACACACACACACACACACACACACACACAAGCACGUACGCACGUACACGUGGCACACUCAUUCCAUUCAACUUGAAACUGGUGGACGCAACGGUGCGCUUACUUGUAUGCGUUUGUGCGUGCGUGUGUGUGCCCAGGCGACGUCACCGCUUCCUAUGCCGAGGAAUUGGAGGAGGAGGAGGGCGGACGGACAGCGAGAGCAGCGGUGCACCCGUUUCUAAGCCCCGAUACUCCGCCCCCGAUCCGCCUCUUCCUUUUCCCUAUAACACACGCACACACGCACGCUGAACUUUUCACUAACUCACACGUCUCGAUUGUCUGCGCGUCACACGCAGCGAAACACU